UUGACCUUUGCUUUGGGAGUUUGUGAUUUGAGACCUUGGGAUUCAUUUGGUACCUUUGACUUUGGAUUUAUUUUGAUGACUUGACUUGGUUACUUUGGUUUCAUCUGACCCAUGGAUUAUUCUUUGCUUAUUUGGCUUGCUUGAGGCUUAAUCCAAAGGAGGGAAUUCUUUCUUGACUUAUGUCAUAAAGUUUUCUAUCUCUUGGUUAGAUAUUUCCUCCCUAGAUUUUACUUUAUGUUCUAGGAUAGUCUUUUCAUCUCCUC
rnacentral:lncRNA from 1 species